UACAGUGGGGGCAAGCGUUGUUCGGAAUUACUGGGCGUAAAGGGCUCGUAGGCGGCCAACUAAGUCACACGUGAAAUCCCCAGGCUUAACCUGGGAACUGCGUGUGAUACUGGAUGGCUUGAAUUCGGGAGAGGGAUGCAGAAUUCCAGGUGUAGCGGUGAAAUGCGUAGAUAUCUGGAGGAAUACCGGUGGCGAAGGCGGCAUCCUGGACCGACAUUGACGCUGAGGAGCGAAAGCUAGGGGAGCAAACGGG
rnacentral:rRNA from 1 species